rnacentral:rRNA from 1 species
UGAAGCCUACGGGAGGCAGCAGUGAGGGAUAUUACACAAUGGGGGGAACCCUGAUGCAGCGACGCCGCGUGGGCGAUGGAGUGCUUCGGCAUGUAAAGCCCUAUCAGCAGGGAAGAAAAUGACGGUACCUGACUAAGAAGCCCCGGCUAAAUACGUGCCAGCAGCCGCGGUAAUACGUAUGGGGCAAGCGUUAUCCGGAUUUACUGGGUGUAAAGGGAGCGCAGGCGGCACGGCAAGCCUGAUGUGAAAGCCCGCGG